rnacentral:rRNA from 1 species
GAUGAACGCUGGCGGCGUGCCUAAUACAUGCAAGUCGAGCGAACAGACGAGGAGCUUGCUCCUCUGACGUUAGCGGCGGACGGGUGAGUAACACGUGGAUAACCUACCUAUAAGACUGGGAUAACUUCGGGAAACCGGAGCUAAUACCGGAUAAUAUAUUGAACCGCAUGGUUCAAUAGUGAAAGACGUUUUUUCUGUCACUUAUAGAUGGAUCCUCUCCGCAUUAGCUAGUUGGUAAGGUAACGGCUUACCAAGGCAACUAUGCGUAGCCGACGUGAGAGGGUGAUCGGCCACACUGGAACUGAGACACGGUACAGACUACUACGGGAGGCAGCAGUAGGGAAUCUUCCGCAAUGGGCGAAAGCAUGACGGAGCAACGCCGCGUGAGUGAUGAAGGUCUUAGGAUCGUAAAACUCUGUUAUUAGGGAAGAACAAAUGUGUAAGUAACUAUGCACGUCUUGACGGUACCUAAUCAGAAAGCCACGGCUAACUACGUG